GACUGGUUGGUGCUGGCUGAACAGACUAGGCUGUUACUGCUGCUUUCCUCUUGCCACCUUUUAUCUUAAUGCAUUCCAUUUUUUCCUUUCAUUACAAAUUUCCAGGAAUGGCUCUGUUAAAGAGCACCUUUCUACCUCUUGUUGUGCUCUGAAGUACUGUGAUCUUGCAACAACUAAGGAUCUACUGCAUUAUGGCGCAAGCUGUAGCAUCCAUCACUAAAACUGUAACAGAGGAGCGGCAAGAACGUAGCAGCAGGAACAGGACACGUUGGUGAGACAUAGAAGAGCUGUCAGGCAGGACACGGAUGCUCAAGGGAGCUCAAAGGGAAAGAGAAGUGGGGGUGUUUGUCACAGGAACCAUUUCAGUGAAGUUGCUUACAAUGGAAAUAGAACCUCUGCGCUUUGGAAGAGUCAGGGAGAAAAAGAUGUCAGGGCACAGGAAAGCAGGCAAGGAAGAUGUGGGCGCUUUAUUGUCUGCACUCACUUAUGGCCCAGCUAUUGUGCAUGCAGAAGUCUGCACAGUUUGUUUCCUUAUUGAAGGUGUCUAGGAAAGCAGUAGAGCUGCUGUGCCACUAUCUGAAAUGCUCUCUGAUGUGAUCACAUUAUGCUCUUUAAUUGCUUUUGGGGGGCAAAACCUUUCUUGCCUUCAUGCCUGCUAACCUGGUUCUCAUUCAUCCUCUGUCUGCAUGUAAGAGAAAAAGCAUGUGGGGCACUGCUGCUGAGCUUGUGGACAGGCAGAGAGAUGAAGUGGGGAGAUGAGCUGGAGCAAUGAUGACAAGUGUGCCAAAAUGUGGAGCAGACUACCUAUGGAAGCCGAAGGUGGAAGUAUUCACCCACCACAAAUGAACUGCAGAAGACAGAGGUGAACAGCAGAAAAAGGAAUGAGUCCAAGGAGCAGUGGCUGCCAAAGUGAGUCCUGAGGCCCAAAUAGGUCAGGUUUCUCUGGACUGUGUCUUCUACACUGUGAUGCUUGACUGCAGUGGACAAUAAGGGGGUGUGAAGCUUUGUAAUGACUUGCCAUAUGACCUCUCGCCUCGCAGUGCUAGGAAAGGAAGUAAAGCUGAGAAUUCCUGGUCCCCAGCCCUUGAUUUAAACUUCUCCAUCUUAAGCAUACCUCAGAAACCGAGAACUCUGCGUACCUGUUGCUUGAUUGCAGGAACACAUCAGGUACCCAGUGUUGGUCUGAGCUGCAGAGAGUAAAAAGAGAGGGAAGAUGCAGACAACCGUCUGUAUCCCUAUUUGAGAAAACAGUUUGAAAUGUAAAGAAUAUUCUUCAUCAAGGUAAGCUCACCUUGUUCAUUUCUCCUCUCUUCUUCAUUCAUUCUGACCCUACUGUUCAAAGGGUUUAUUUCAGAUAUAAGGUGGCAGAAAAGGCAAGUAGUUGUUAAUUGUUGGGUUGGUUUUCCACGUGACCACAGCUGGGUCUUUAGGUUGGUAGAGUGACUCUCCCAGGGUUUUAAGUACUCCCUUCUAUUUAUUUCUGGGAUCCGUUUUUCAUUUGUUCACUUCAAAUACCUGGUAAAUGGAGAAAAAAAGAGGAAAUUAGCACUUCUCAGCAAGUGAAUUACUUGUGUUUUUUUUUUUUUUUUGAAAAUGAAAGCAUUUAUAUACAGACUUAAAACACUGUGUUCACUUCCUGAUCAAAUCUAAAUGGCUAUGUGAUUGCAUGCUGCCCCUUCCUGUUAGAACGUCUUGCUUAUUUAGAAAAUAUGUAGUUUAUCUCAUACCAGACUAUUGCAAAGCUGAUAUUAGUUUCUUUGUGUAGAGGAAUAAGAGAGUUUUUCACCUGCUAGGACUUCUAGGCAAUAAUUCUUGUGUCAGAUAAACGUCUUGUCUGCUUCUGUGGUUUGCAGUCCUUACCAGCCACUCAAUUAAUUAAGCUCCUUAAGAGACAGAGACAUAUUUCCAUGAUUCCAACGGAAGGUGUUACCUCAUACACUUCUUUCUUCUACUGUAAUCUGUGAGAGGGCUCACAGCAUAGCACAUCUGUUGUAAUGGUCACCGCUAUGUGAAAAAGCUAGUUUUUUCAUUUCUCUCUCUUCCUCUUUCUACUCUUCCUCCUACCAUGAGCUGCGCAGUUCUCGCUUGGCACUUGUCUUAAUCUUGGCCAUUUCAGUUCACUGAGCUCACAAAAAACUGUUGCAGCUCAAGAAUGUGGAUAUUCUGAGUAUUUAGUGAGUCAGAUCAGCUUGGUUGUGCUGCCAAGCCAUGCAAGGUAUGGAGCAGCAAGACACGGAAAGGAAUGGUGGAGGAGGCAGCCCACCCAUUUUAGCAGCACACUGUUAGAUCAAGCCAGCUGCAAUGUGAAACCGUACCUGCAAGAGACACCAUGCUGAAAGUCUGCUGAAGUCUGGAAAAGGCACAGCAAAACUGCCACUGGUCUCUUCAGUCUUCUAGUAAGUAACUGGCCUACUCAUCUCCUUUUGCUCAACAGCUGUUAAGUUAAAAUUAUCUCCCAUUUUCUUUCCUGGGAAUAAGUCCCUCUAAGAAAAAUUCUCAGCAGACAGAAGAUUGAUAAUAGCACGUACACACAGGAGCCAAUGGACUUUGAGAAGAAUAAAGAUGGGACUAACGUGUCUUCUAAUCCCUAGGAGUGGAUUCUUCUCUCUGUUGUAUUUCAUCUACCUUGACUAAAUUAGGGCAGCUACUGUUUUUAGCAUCAAAGAUUUUAAGUGCACAUGGAAAAGUACUGUUUAUUUUUGUAAGAAGUGCAUAAGGAUUGUAUCUACAUACAAAGCAACAACCCCAGUUCACCCCUACUGAAGCUCGAGUGUGCCACUUCAUCCUCCUUUCCUGGCACUCUGAGAGUGUUGGAGAAAUUGUAUUCCUCGUUAUCAGCUAUGUUGCCUGCUGUGGCUACAAACAGCCUCAGGCUGGGCAUAAAAGUAUGCUGACGUUUGGAGUGGGACCUUACUGUAGCAGGGUAGGUUAACACACAUGGGUAAGCAAGCUUAGAUUAAUUACCUCUGGCAAAAUAUUAUACAAGAGAGUUUUUGCUUUGCGCUUCACGUACUGUGCAGCAUGUGUGUUGUUUCCCUGCCUGACAAGUGAUGCUAGGAGGAUGAGUCCAUCAGUAUUUGUGUGGUACUCAGUACAGUUGCUGCAUCUUGAACUGACUCAGUCCUGAAGUGCAUCACUGCAGGGAUGCAGAUAGGCGCAAUCAUCUUUCCAUACGGUGGUAACUCCUCCAAACAGCAACUGGAUAAAGUGGUAUGUUAUUUGAAGGUGUUUGCACUGUCUCUGCCACACUGCUGGUAUCCUUGCCAUUCCUGUGAAUAAACAGACUUCAGAAUAUUUCUGUAUCAAAACAGAACGUGCUCAUUUAACAGUUAAACUGCAUUUUAUUGUCUUGUACAGCACAAAUCAUCUAUCAGCCCGAUGCCUUUGGUAAAUACUGUUUUAGGUUCAUUUUAACUACCGGCAUUUCUCUUCUGGUAAAUUCUCAGCAGACAGGGAUUAGGAUGUGGUACUUAGCUGAAGCUGUCCUGCUGACAGAUUGCAGUGACCUUUCUGUGACUUCUGUUCUGAUCUCACUGGCGCUGCUGGAAUUUGACACACUAGAACAUGAGAUACUGGCUCCAUUAUGCUACUAAUUGGUAUCCAGAGCAUUGUGUUCCUGACUUCUUCACCAUCUGAUGUAGGUGGCAGAUAGUUCUAAUUUAUCUUUGCCAUGUGAUUUAGGAGGCUCAAGUCUCUACUGCCAACCAGUAGAUGCCUUUAUCCUUGCAUGUUGCUGUCUUUAUCAUAUACAGGUAUACAGGUUGACACAGGCUUGUGUUGCAAGCAUGAUUGGUCACCUUAUCUUCUUAUUUCUGGGUGCUCAUCUGGAAUGGAAGGAAAUUUUUUGAUCACUGAAGCUGGCUAAAUGACUCUAAAUAACUUUCAUAUGCAGCAUUAGAGGUAAAUCUUGAAAUAUUUUAUUUUUCAAACAUGCAGUUAUAACUUUUAUUUCUGCAAGGAUAUGUCCUUUGGAAUGCACAGAAUGGCUUUAAUUUUUGUCUAGUGGUAGUCUGAAAAGUAAC
rnacentral:lncRNA from 1 species